rnacentral:rRNA from 1 species
CUUACCGGGGUGCUUACACAUGCAAGUCAGACGAUGAACCGCUUUCGGGCGGGGAUUAGUGGCGAACGGGUGAGUAACACGUGGGCAAUCUGCCCUGCACUCUGGGACAAGCCCUGGAAACGGGGUCUAAUACCGGAUAUGACUAUCCGCCGCAUGGUGGAUGGUGUAAAGCUCCGGCGGUGCAGGAUGAGCCCGCGGCCUAUCAGCUUGUUGGUGAGGUAGUGGCUCACCAAGGCGACGACGGGUAGCCGGCCUGAGAGGGCGACC